GUUCUUCAACCACCACAGCCCCAUUUUAAUAAAACCCUUACAAUCCGCAGUUCAUCUUGCCAUUCCAAAAGAAAUAAGAUCCGCAAUUCAUCUUAUCGUGGUCUACUCAUCCAUAGAAACCAUCGUCCUAAUUUGAGAAUUUAAGGUGCAAUCGAGGCUCGAGAGGCCUGGUCAAUCAGAGCUAUCAUCAUCAACCUUGGUCGACUAAAGGGUGGAUUUGUGCGAUAACCCGUGGAUUUGUGCGACAAGUUUUUCUUCGUUGAUUCUCAUUACUAGAGAACCAGAUGCAAAAGAAUGAUGCCAAUGGAUGAUGAAAUUGAGGAAUCACCAACCUUCCUCUUAAUUGGAUGAGUUUAUUCCGGAUCCUCUAAGCCCAUUUGAAGAUAAUGAUGGCGAUGAGAGACGGUUUCCUACUCUUCUCAUCUGAACUAGGAAAUCUUCGGGUAUGUUUGUGA
rnacentral:lncRNA from 1 species